CUGCUGGUUUUACCAUCACGACGGAACCAAUCCCUUGCUAGCCCUACCUCGUCUCCCGUCUCCAGUCUCAGCCACCGCCGCACCCCAAUCCAACCCCGCCGCCGGCGAUCUCCUCGCCCCCCUGCACCGCCGCCCCAACCUUCUAUUCCUCUCCUAAGGGAAUCCCAAGGGAAGGGAAGGGAAGGCAAGGGAAGGGAGAGGGAGCGCCCAGAUCCACGGCUGCAUCAGCGCGCCGUCGUCGACCUGAUGCGUGUCCGUCCUCGAGGGAGGUCGGCACGGAGGUCCGACCCGGCCCGGCAGUAGCCAUGGAUGGACAGAGACGCCCCAAGCUCUACCCUCAAGGACGACGCCUCAACCUUCAAGGACGCGCGCCGACGACCGCGGAUCUCCGGUGACGGCUAUGGAUGACUGCCCCGGAUCUGGACGCACGACCUGCAGCUGCAGUAGCAGCUGGACGACCGAACGCACGUGCCCUCCCUCCCUUCCUCAUGGCUCUGCUUCCUCCUACCCUGCCCCCCUCACGUGGGCGUGCUGGACUUCGAUGACGGUACACCACCAGAAGAUGCUUGGAGAAGAAAAUUAAGUAGUCAGGCUAAUAGACUGAAGGAGUUCAAUGUUACGUUCAGAGAAGCAUUUAAAAUGGUAUGAAAAAUGCAAUUGUCAAACAGAGAUGAAGCUUGGUCUCCGGCUUUGGUCAUAUGUUCGAGAAGAAGCUUCUCAUGGAAGGAAAGCACCGAUUGAUCCAUUCACGAGGGAGAGCAUCAAACCAUCAGCCUCACAAGGAGUACCCCUUGGUGGGAUGGGGACUGGUAGCAUAUAGAGGUUUUAGAGGGGAGUUCAAACAUUGGCAGAUAAGCCCUGGUUCAUGUGAUAUGUCACGAGUGAUGGAAAACCAAUUUUCAGUAACUGAGACCUUUUACCCUGCUAAAACAUGUUAUAUCCUCAAAGAUUUAGCUUUUUCUCAGUUUCAUUAUUUUUCCUUGCUUCUAAUACAUAUUGUUAUGGAUCCCAAUAUUGAACAAUAUUAACAAUAUUUUAUGAUGAAUCUAUUGAGGUGUACAUGUUGAUAUAUGUAUUCUAUAUAAUUGUUACAUAUUGAAAAUGGCAUCAUGAUUUUGGAUUGUUGAGGUUUGAUGAAAACUCACUUGUUCCAUACUAAAAACAAAUGCCCUUGAAGAUUAUUCUGCCUCAUGUGUUAAGUUAUUUUUUCAUGACCAUGAGUGUUAAGUAAGCUUUGUGAUGUAUCUUUAUCUACACUCUUAAGUUAUCUACAAGUGUCAAACCAAGCAGUGCAUGAUUUUGCUAAAAGUAUAAUUUCUUACCUAAAACACACCUCUCAUUUUUUUAAUCAUUCUGUUCUUAAUUCACCGCAGAUCUUUAUAAGUAGAGAAGGAUGAAACAAAAAGUACUCCUCAGUUUUAGCUCCUGGUCAGCAUGAUGGUUUAAAGUAUGUUUUUUUUGCCCUGUCAGACAACAGAUUCUUAAUUUCCUGAAAUUUUCUCUAUGGAUGUUCAAUGGAUGCAAAUCUGGAAUGUUCUCUUCGGUCUUUGUAUGUCAGAAUAUAUAUAGCAGUCAUGACACAGUACAACAACAACAACAGUUCCUUUCAGUCCCAAACAAGUUGGGGUAGGCUAGAGUUGAAACCCAUAAUAUCUCGUCAUGGUUCUGGCACAUGGAUAGCUAACUUCCAUGCGCCCCUGUCCACGCCAAAGCAAGAAAAAAGUACUACAGGAGAUUUGAUGUACAGGUGAUCACUGAAGCAAAGAAAAGUACAGGAGUUCUGGUGCCAGAUUGUUCACACAACAUAUCCUUGCCACUUCUACAGGUGUGGAGAGUUUGGGUUCGGAAGUUAGUGGGUGGGAGCGGAGGAAGGAAAGGGGAGAAAGAUGUGCUUUCCUCGUUGCAAUGCACGGGCAAUUAACUAUAUUGCUAAUAAGUGAAGCGACAACCAAGUUUCCAAGUUUAUGUCAGACUACAAGAGAAGGGGGUUUAGUAUUUUCUUGAUGGCACAUGUUGGAAGGUCUGCAGGAGGUGCCUUUGAGGACUUGCUCGUCCGUUCGGUACCAUCGUCUUUCCAAGAGCCCACAUUUCUGCAUGUAUAUAUUUGUUGUACAGCCUAUGCUGGUUUGCCUGCAAUAAUAAUUAUCAAAAGGGAAUAUGCAGCAGCCGAAUUCUCUCGACGUUCAUUUUGUCAUGUGCUUAAGCAAACCGUGCGUGCCAUAUUCCUCAAGAGGUGAAGAGGACAGGAAGACACAUGUGCUAAAGCAAAAAAAUAAAUAGAAAAGCAGUAUAUUAGGAAUCUACCCCUUAGCUUAAUUUACAAGUUGUGUGAGUGCUCAUAUAUUGGUAUUAUUCUCAGGAUAGCAAGAAACCUAUUCUUUUAUUCUGCUAGAAUUGAGUAACCAGCUUUAAAAUUUGUAACUAUAACCAAAUUACGUAUGUGUUCCUAUUAAAAAGAGAGAGCAAUGCAUGUCA